AUGGUAAGCUUCUGUGCUUACCUCAAACACACAAGAAACAGCAGUGGAAGAGUGGGUUUCACAGCACCUUUCUUUUUCAGGAUGUUGCUGGUAAGGAAACACAACACCUCUGCCCACAUGUAUGCGCAGGGCUGGCAGAACAACAUGGAAACCUGUCCAGAUACCACAAAGUAUGAAAGCAAAGGAGCUCGGUGGGACCACGAGCAGAGGGAAACUACAAGUGUUCGCAGAGCAGCAGGAAACAGGUGUCUGGUGAACGGCCGACGAGGGCAUCGCUUCUGCAAAGUGCGUUCAACAAAGCUCCAAACGCAGCCACUCCAGAUGCAGGGAGCAGAUAACAGCGUGGAGCAGCAGCUGUGGUUUCACACGGGAAGGGCCUGGCCCCACUGACAUCACGUCCCACUGCUCCGAGCACCACUGCCAGCAGAAGUGUUGCCUUUGCCUCACUGUGCCACAGUGUCCUCCACAG
rnacentral:lncRNA from 1 species